GGGGGAACAUCCUGAUCCCCGGCAUUAACGAGGCCGUGGCCGCCGUCACGGAAGAGGAGCACAAGCUGUACGACGACAUCGACUUUGACAUAGAGGAGUUUGCCAAGGAUGUGGGGGCGCAGAUCCUCCUGCACAGCCACAAGAAAGACAUCCUCAUGCACCGAUGGCGGUACCCGUCUCUGUCCCUCCAUGGCAUCGAAGGCGCCUUCUCUGGGUCUGGGGCCAAGACCGUGAUUCCCAGGAAGGUGGUUGGCAAGUUCUCCAUCAGGCUCGUGCCGAACAUGACUCCUGAAGUCGUCGGCGAGCAGGCAUGUGGGGCUGGGACACGGGGUGGGGGCCAAGAGCUACUGUGUCCGGGCAGAGACUUGGGUAAUAUAGGCUGUUACUCGACAGACACCCGGGCCAUGCAUGCCCCCGCUUCCUGGCUCUGGCCAAGUCAGUAAUUAUGACAGUCACGGUUCAGAAGCUAAUCAAAGAUAAUGCAUCACAUGUAAGUGACCUUUGUUACUGAUGAGGCAGGCCAAAAUCUGGCCUUUGACCUCACUCACCUCAAGGCUCCAGGCCAAACACCAACUUUGGACCAAGCGUGUUCUGGUCAGAGUCCCAGAGCCGCCCCUUACCAUGGUGCCUUGUGGAGGGGACUCUGGUGGCUGGAGGUCAGCCCAGCUUCUGACUGUCCCCCUCAGCUGGGAUUCCUGGGGAGAUGGAGUCUUCCCACUGGGAAUGGGAGCCUGGGGCUCACCCUUCAUGCUGAAUACUGAGGUCUUGUCACGAGGAGGUGUCCCCGGGUCAGCGCCUGGCUCUAUCCUGGGUCUGGAUGCAGUGUAGCCUGUGGUCAUUGAUUUUAUGAAGUACCUCGGUCUGCUCAGGCUGCCACAAUAAAGACCACAGACGCGGUAGCUUACGUGGCAGACGCGAUAGCUUACGUGGCAGAAACGGAUUCCUCACUGUUUCGGAGGCGGAUGAGUCCAGGACCAAGGUGCCGGCAGCUGUGGCAUCUGACGAGGGUUCCUCCUGGCCGUGGCCGCUGGCCUCGCUUGUCCUCACAUGGCAGAGGGCAGGCUCUCGGUAUCUUCUCACCCAGGCCCACCCUUCUGGCCUCAUUUAACCUUUGUCUAAAUAAGGUUUAGAAAGAGAAAAAAAAACUACUAAAGAAAAAAAGCUAGGCUUUUAAAGAAUUCAAGUUAGUUUUAUUCAGGCGCCUCACUGAGGAAUGCGGACUGCGGCCCGGGGCCCAGGAGCAGCCUUGGAGAGGUUUGGCUGGGCUGCUCUGAGAGAGCGGCUCAGCCCGCAGCUCAUCUGCAGGUGGAGGAGCUUCGGUGCGUGCUGAAUCACAUCGCACCUGCUCAGAUGUUACAUUCCAGCCAAGCCACACUGAGCCUCGGUGUAAGAGCACAUGUGGUCAAAGGUCACAGAGGCGCAACCACUAAUGCGGUCAGGUGCUAUCUUAUGUGUGGGAAAAGGUAAGGACAGGGUCAUUUAUCUCCUAAGGAAUGCAGCGACUCGGGCAAGAGGCAGGGGUGGUGUGUGCUCCCCCGUUUUGUCUUCAAAGCAUCUUUCCUGAGAGCUACAGGUAGUGGCAGGGUGGAGCCUGUGAAAGGCCGGCAAGCAGAAUGGCGCAAACGCAGCUUCUCACAUUUGUGACUUUGUCUCACACCUUAGUUACUUCUGUUAAGUCCCCAAGUGUAGUCAUAAUGGAGUUUAGGGCUUAAAUAUAUGAAUUCUGGGGGCACGCAAACAUUCUGUCCAUAAUAUAAAGCAGGUCAGGGAAGAUUGUUUUUAAACUUAAUUUAAAUAGUAUCAUCAUUUAGAAGAUCUUUGGAAAGAGUGAAUUGCUUGAUAUUAAAACUUUGUCUUUUACUUUGAAAUAACUGGGUUUUAUUUUUUGAUAAGAAGUCCCCUCUUUCUGGCCGGGCGCGGUGGCUCACACUUGUAAUCCCAGCACUUUGGGAGGCCAAGGCGGGCGGAUCACGAGGUCAGGAGAUCCAGACCACGGUGAAACCCCGUCUCUACUGAAAAGACAAAAAUUAGCCGGGUGUGGUGGCGGGCGCCUGUAGUCCCAGCUGCUCAGAGAGGCUGAGGCAGGAGAAUGGCGUGAACCCGGGAGGCGGAGCUUGCAGUGAGCCGAGAUCACGCCACUGUGCUCCAGCCUGGACAACAGAGCGAGACUCCAUCUCAGAAAAAAUAAAAAAUAAAAAAAGAAGUCUCCUCUUUCCUUACUCUAGUUAUGUAGCUCAGUAUUAAGCAACAGAAAAUGAGACUCAUCGUAGACUCAGCAUAGACCCAUCACAGACCUGUCAGAGGCCGAUUGUAAGCUCGCUGUAGACCCAUGAUAGCAGACCCGUAGGUCACUAGCACUGGAUCAAAUGCAAGCUUAUAAAGCAUUGUAUACCUCUAUUCUAUUUGUGGUUUAGGUCACAAGCUACCUAACUAAGAAGUUUGCUGAACUACGCAGCCCCAAUGAGUUCAAGGUGUACAUGGGCCACGGUGGGAAGCCCUGGGUCUCCGACUUCAGUCACCCUCAUUACCUGGCUGGGAGAAGAGCCAUGAAGACAGUUUUUGGUGUUGAGCCAGACUUGACCAGGGAAGGCGGCAGUAUUCCCGUGACCUUGACCUUUCAGGAGGCCACGGGCAAGAACGUCAUGCUGCUGCCUGUGGGGUCAGCGGAUGACGGAGCCCACUCCCAGAAUGAAAAGCUCAACAGGUAUAACUACAUAGAGGGAACCAAGAUGCUGGCCGCGUACCUGUAUGAGGUCUCCCAGCUGAAGGACUAGGCCAAGCCCUCUGUGUGCCAUCUCCAAUGAGAAGGAAUCCUGCCCUCACCUCACCCUUUUCCAACUUGCCCAGGGAAGUGGAGGUUCCCUCUUUCCUUUCCCUCUUGUCAGGUCAUCCAUGACUUUAGAGAACAGACACAAGUGUAUCCAGCUGUCCACGGGUGGAGCUACCCGUUGGGCUUAUGAGUGACCUGGAGUGACAGCUGAGUCACCCUGGGUAAGUUCUCAGAGUGGUCAGGAUGGCUUGACCUGCAGAAGAUACCCAAGGUCCAAAAGCACAAGGUCUGCGGAAAGUUCUGGUUGUCGGCCGGGCACCACGGCUCACACCUAUAAUCGAGCACUUUGGGAGGCCAAGACAGGAGGAUCACUUGAGGCCAGGAGUCUGAGACAAGCCUAGGCAACAAAACAAGACUCUGUCUCUACAAAAAGUUUAAGAAAUGAGCCAGACAUGGUGGUGUAUGCCUGUAGUCCCAGCCACUCAGAAGGCUGAGGCAGGAGGAUCGCUUGAGACCAAGAGUUUGAGCCUGCGGUGAGCUGUGAAUGCACCACGGCACUCAAGCCUGGGCAAUGUAGCAAGAUCCUGUCUCUACAAGAAAUUUUUUAAAAAUGAGCCAAGUGUGGUGGUGCAUGCCUGUAGUUCCAGCUACUCAGGACACUGACGUAGGAGGGUUGCUUGAGACUGAGAGUUGGAGGCUGCGAUGAGCCAUGAAUGCCCCACUGCACUCCAGCCUGGGCGACAGAACGAGACCCCAUCUCAAAAAAAAUAAGUUCUGGUUGUCAUUGAAUUGGGAUAAACAGAGAGCUUGAUGCUUUCUGCCUUCUGUCUCAGGUGAUGCAUUGCACAUUUGGGAUAUUUGGAAAGGAAAUGAGGAAAGAAAUUAGGGCCUCCUCUGAUCUCUCGCUAUCUGCGGGUCCUGUCCUUUUCUCAAGACCUUCACCAUUACUGGCAUUUUCCUGUCUUCUCUUUAGUAUGAUCCCUCAAAACCUCACUAACUGGAAGGAUGAUUUUGUCUCAGUUUGUACUCCUAAAUAAAAAGUAAACAUGACACCUCU
rnacentral:lncRNA from 10 species